rnacentral:tRNA from 1 species
GCAGUGGUGGUGCAGUGGUAGAAUUCUCACCUUCCAUGUGGGAGACCUUGCUUUGAUUCCUGGCCAAUGUA